AGGAAGACAACACCCUAAACUCUUGCCACUGUUCAGUCUGUUAGUCUGUGUAUCAACAUGUCAGAUGCAACUUUAGAAGAUAAGGAUUUGAUUACCUGUUCAAUCUGUCUGGACCUACUGAAGGAUCCAGUGACUACUGCCUGUGGACACAGUUACUGUAUGGACUGUAUUAAUGACUGCUGGAAUCAGGAUGAUCUUAAAGGUAACUACAGCUGUCCCUUGUGCAUGGAAAGAUUCACCCCAAAACCUGUCCUGAAGAAAAACAUAUUACUGGCUGAAUUAGUGGAGAAACAGAAGAAGACAGGACUCAGAUCUACUCCUCCUGCUCUCUGUUAUGCUGUACCUGGAGAUGUGGAGUGUGACUUAUGCACUGGGAGAAAACUCAAAGCAGUCCAGUCCUGUCUGGUGUGUCUUGCCUCUUACUGUAAGACUCACCUCCAGCCUCACUAUGAUUCCCCUGCCUUUAAGAAGCACAAAAAGAAGCUUGUCGAAGCCUCCACACAACUACAGGAAAAGAUCUUCCCUCAUCAUGACAGUCUGCUGGAUGAUUACUGCUGUACUCAUCCACAGUGUAUCUUUCUGCUGUUUGUGAUGGAUGAACAUACAGGCCAUGAUACAGUUUCAGCAGAAAGGAGAAAGAAACAGAAGCAGAGGAGACCCGGACAUCGCUAUGCAACCCAGGUCAUGAGGCCACAACAUUUUCAGUACAUGCAACUGACCAUGAAGCCCACCUUCCAGGCUGCAGCGCCUUGCAUGUUUUCCACUCAGCACACGGCCGGUCGGAACAUGGUCCUCUGCUUAUUUAUUAGUAUUAUUUUGUUUGUUUGGUUGUUUUUACUGUGAAGAGUUGAAAUAGUAGAAUACAUAAGGCACCAUUUUGAAAUGUCGUAGUGUACAGCAGUUUACCUUGUUAUGUCAGUCACUGUCAGACCUACGCAAGCUAUUUACUAGGCCUACCUGUCAGAAAUGCCCAGUUGAUCAAUGUAGUGACAGAGGCAGGACAAGCAGGGCCCGUGUGCAAAAUAUUUAUCACAGUGGGGGCACAACCAAAUCUCGCCAGGGGCCCCCAAGAAACAGGCCAGUGGAACAGAAGCAAAUGCUGGGCGAGCGCCUCUUCCCGCUCAACCAGAAUAUGCACUCCAGCCUGACUGGAAAGAUUGACAUGUUGCUGGAGAGUCUCCAGAGUCUCUCCUCGUCCAGUUGGAUGAAGCCAUGGCAGUGCUGCAGGUUUACCAGAGAUGAUGAACUACUCAUCUGGUGUUCCAAAUGUCUAAUAAGCCACUGAAUUGGGAACCUUGAAUCUCACUUGACUGAGGAAAAACAUAACAUUGAAAAAUAACUCAAACAUAAAACAAUGCAAGAAAAAUGAAACAAUAUUUUUAAGAAAUGAAAAGGAAAUACCUUGAUUAAGCUUUGACUAGGCAAUAAAAAAGGUAAAUGGUUCAAAUAAAAAAUCUUAAAGUAUAGGAUUUUAAGAAUUAUGACAGAAAAUGAAAUUACUGAAGUAAUGCCUGGGAUAUCAAAGCCAUGACAUUGUUAAAUGCACAUUUACUUUGCUUUCAUGAAUAACAUUUUUUUAUAUAUAUUAUAUUUUAUAAAGUGGCGUUGAUGUAGGAUUAGGGGGACUACUCCCUGGUCUAUAAAGCCAGGGUGAAGUUGCCUCUAGACACUGGUCUAUAAAGCCAGGGUGAAGUUGCCUCUAGACACUGGUCUAUAAAGCCAGGGUGAAGUUGCCUCUAGACACUGGUCUAUAAAGCCAGGGUGAAGUUGCCUCUAGACACUGGUCUAUAAAGCCAGGGUGAAGUUGCCUCUAGACACUGGUCUAUAAAGCCAGGGUGAAGUUGCCUCUAGACACUGGUCUAUAAAGCCAGGGUGAAGUUGCCUCUAGACACUGGUCUAUAAAGCCAGGGUGAAGUUGCCUCUAGACACUGGUCUAUAAAGCCAGGGUGAAGUUGCCUCUAGACACUGGUCUUUGGUCAGUUGGUCAUUUGGUAAUUUGUCAGCAAAAGGCAGUAGGAUGACGUGUACCAUUGCACAGACCACAGACCCUCUAUCCAGAUCAUAUGUGAGUAUACUGAGACCUAUUUAGUGAUCAAGAAAUUGUGAGCUUCUGCUGGUGGGCCUUUUCUAUAUCCAGGGCAAGUUAAGGGUUGCGGUCGAAGUAUGGUUUAAGACUGAAUGUUAAAUCGUUUGGACUGUUGUUCUCUCUCCUCUCUCCCUCCCUCUCCCCACCCCCCUCACGGAAAACUAUGAAAAUGUAAUAUUAUUUUAACAAACUCUACCAUUUUAUUCAUUGUAUAUGACAUGUCAUUGUGUAAAAUAAAUACAUGAAGUAUUCUA